UACUAACUCUGGCGGCGUGCUUAACACAUGCAAGUCGAACGGAAAGGCCUGCUUUCCCUUGUGGAUUGCGGGUACUCGAGUGGCGAACGGGUGAGUAACACGUGAGUGAUCUGCCCCCAACUUGGGUAUAAGCCUGGGAAACUGGGUCUAAUUCCCGAUAGGACUGCAGGGUGGUGCCUGUGGUGGAAAACGAUUUUCUAGUGGUUGGGGAUGAGCUCGCGGCCUAUCAGCUUGUUGGUGGGGUAAUGGCCUACCAAGGCGGCGACGGGUAGCCGGCCUGAGAGGGUGGACGGCCACAUUGGGACUGGGAUACGGCCCAGACUCCUACGGGAGGCAGCAGUGGGGAAUAUUGCACAAUGGGCGGAAGCCUGAGGCAGCGACGCCGCGUGGGGGAUGACGGCCUUCGGGUUGUAAACUCCUUUCGACCGCGAGGAAGCCACCUGGUUGGAAGGGUGGUGACGGUAGUGGUAGAAGAAGCACCGGCUAACUACGUG
rnacentral:rRNA from 1 species